CAGGGAAAACAAGAAUCUCACAGGAACAACUUGUUAUGCAAGUGUUAACACUCACCUUGGAGUUGAGCAAAGCAGAAGAGAUGAUUUGGAGUCUCUUGGUUAUGUGCUUAUGUAUUUUUUGAGGGGAAGUCUUCCUUGGCAGGGAUUAAAAGCAGGUACAAAAAAAAUAGAAAUAUGACAAGAACAGUGAAAAGAAGAUGCUUACUCCCAUAGAGCAACCAAGUGGGAAACUGGUUCUAAAUCCUGGGCCAUCUACAGAGAGAAUAGAGAGACCUUCAG